rnacentral:rRNA from 1 species
UACGGGGGGGGCAAGCGUUGUUCGGAAUUACUGGGCGUAAAGGGCUCGUAGGCGGCCAACUAAGUCAGACGUGAAAUCCCUCGGCUUAACCGGGGAAUUGCGUCUGAUACUGGAUGGCUCGAGUUUGGGAGAGGGAUGCGGAAUUCCAGGUGUAGCGGUGAAAUGCGUAGAUAUCUGGAGGAACACCGGUGGCGAAGGCGGCAUCCUGGACCAAUACUGACGCUGAGGAGCGAAAGCCAGGGGAGCAAACGGG